AUGAUUGAAUGGCAGGCGCUGCAGAGCAGGCGGAGGAGGAGCUGCUCUGAAACGGCGUCCUUUUUCAGGAGAACUGGGGAGAUCGUUUCGGACGUCGGGGUCGUUAUCGAGGAUGGUGGUAUUCUGAGGGUCACUGGAAGCCUGAUAGGAGGAGGACGAACGCUGUACAUGAAGGUAUUCCUGCCGGCUGAGGGUCACUGGAAGCCGGAUAGAAGGAGGACGAACGCUGUGCAUAAUAGGAUAGUUGGACGGAUGAUUGGAGGGUGUUUUUUGGACCUUGGCUCGGGCACUCGCCUUUUUAGUACGAGGCGCCGUGGCCGCCGCUUCUCGGACUUCGCCUCUGGCAGAGUUGCCUCAACGCCGAGGUUUCCGUGUGGUUUAGUAUACAUCUGCUGCACGCUGUAUACCCAUUUACUGUUAUUUUCAUUGUUAAUUAUGUUGUUGUAUAGAAACUAGAAGGGAGGGGUGAGUCAGUCUACAGUAGUUCAGUCAGACAGAGAGGAAAGAAAGAGUUUGGGGUUUUGAGGCAGAGAGAGUGUGUUUAAGGAGUGAUCAGAAUGUGACCUGUAUUCGUUGUUGUAUUUAUUAGGUGUCUGUUAUGCCUUUAUUAGAUUUUUUUGUGAGUGUUGUUCUUCUUAGACAUCUUAAGCCUUUUGUUGUAAAAUUAACUGUUAUGUUAGCUUAAGGAUCUUUUUUCUUUAAUUUAGGGACCAGGUUGGGUGGGUUUCUCUUUCUCUCUCUCUUUGUGGUGGGGGAAAUUAAGGCCUGAUGGUAAUUGAUUAUUAUUAGGUGUCUGUUAUGCCUUUAUUAGAUUUUUUUGUGAGUGUUGUUCUUCUUAGACAUCUUAAGCCUUUUGUUGUAAAAUUAACUGUUAUGUUAGCUUAAGGAUCUUUUUUCUUUAAUUUAGGGACCAGGUUGGGUGGGUUUCUCUUUCUCUCUCUCUUUGUGGUGGGGGAAAUUAAGGCCUGAUGGUAAUUGAUUAGCCUGGAGAGCUCAUUACGGGGGGGAAGGGGCACAAUGCAGUAUCGGUGGUGAUGGAGAGGGGAGGAU
rnacentral:lncRNA from 1 species